AACGCGAAGAACCUUACCAGGUCUUGACAUCCCUUUGACCGGUGCAGAGAUGUGCCUUCCCUUCGGGGCAGAGGAGACAGGUGGUGCAUGGUUGUCGUCAGCUCGUGUCGUGAGAUGUUGGGUUAAGUCCCGCAACGAGCGCAACCCUUGAGCUUAGUUGCCAGCGCGUAAUGGCGGGCACUCUAGGCUGACUGCCGGUGACAAACCGGAGGAAGGCGGGGAUGACGUCAAAUCAUCAUGCCCCUUAUGACCUGGGCUACACACGUACUACAAUGGCCGGUACAACGGGCAGCGAAAGGGCGACCUGGAGCGAAUCCCAGCAAAGCCGGUCUCAGUUCGGAUUGCAGGCUGCAACUCGCCUGCAUGAAGUCGGAAUUGCUAGUAAUCGCGGAUCAGCAUGCCGCGGUGAAUACGUUCCCGGGCCUUGUACACACCGCGUGUCU
rnacentral:rRNA from 1 species